UACGUAGGGGGCAAGCGUUGUCCGGAUUUAUUGGGCGUAAAGGGUGCGUAGGCGGCCUUUUAAGUCAGAUGUGAAAGCCCACGGCUCAACCGUGGUAAGCAUUUGAAACUGGAAGGCUUGAGUUAAGGAGAGGAAAGUGGAAUUCCUAGUGUAGCGGUGAAAUGCGUAGAUAUUAGGAGGAAUACCAGUGGCGAAGGCGACUUUCUGGACUUAUACUGACGCUGAGGCACGAAAGCGUGGGGAGCAAACAGG
rnacentral:rRNA from 2 species